CCUACGGGUGGCUGCAGUGGGGAAUAUUGGACAAUGGGGGGAACCCUGAUCCAGCCAUGCCGCGUGUGUGAAGAAGGCCCUCGGGUUGUAAAGCACUUUCAGUGAGGAAGAACGCCUGGUGGUUAAUACCCAUCAGGAAAGACAUCACUCACAGAAGAAGCACCGGCUAACUCCGUGCCAGCAGCCGCGGUAAUACGGAGGGUGCGAGCGUUAAUCGGAAUUACUGGGCGUAAAGCGCGCGUAGGUGGCUUGAUAAGCUGGUUGUGAAAGCCCCGGGCUCAACCUGGGAACGGCAUCCGGAACUGUCAAGCUAGAGUGCAGGAGAGGAAGGUAGAAUUCCCGGUGUAGCGGUGAAAUGCGUAGAGAUCGGGAGGAAUACCAGUGGCGAAGGCGGCCUUCUGGACUGACACUGACACUGAGGUGCGAAAGCGUGGGUAGCAAACAGGAUUAGAUACCCGGGUAGUC
rnacentral:rRNA from 1 species